CUCUAAACGGAUUCCUUUUUCUUAUUGGAGUACAGUAGAAUAUUUUAGUCACAAGAAGAAACCUGCAAAGUGAUGGUAAGAAAACACAACUAUAAAGAGGUGAGGUAUACACACUAUAUAAAAAAGAACACAAAUUGAAGAAUAUUUACGACUGCGUUGCUUUUUGGACUAUUCAGUAUUGCAGAUGUUGCAGUUCAGUGUAAUGACAGUGCAGGAUAGUGUGUAUAGCAAUACAGAACUAAAAUAGUAUUUAAACUAAUCCAUAUAAUAUGGAGCUAGCAUUACAAAUUUUUACUAGAAAAUGGGUUUAAAAACUCCUGAAGUGGAGGGUCUUCUAUUUAAUCACAGGGGACUCUCAUUCAACAUUUCUAAACUGAUACUUUGAAUAAUUCACUCUAUUUUCAAAUGGUAAUCUGUUCUAGUGUUUAGUUUCUUUGCACUAUUCACCAUGAUGUCAAAUGUCGUGUGAUACCUUUUGUAAUCUUUUCUAUUGCUUGUAUUUUAUCUCAACUACGUGUCUGCUUUUAAUGUGUUAUUUAUUGUAGUGUUUUACAAUGAUCACUUUGUCUUGUUUAUUUUAAACUAGUCUUAUUUUACUGACCUUUCAUAUUUUGUCUUGUUUGGUUUGUGUGCAUCGGUUCCUAAAUUUUUGUCAGUCCCUUGUAAAGCAAUUUAAACUUUUUUUUUUUUUCAUUUAACCCUCCUGUUGUCUUCAUUUACAGGCACCAAAAACUUUGUCUAGAAAAAAAUCAGCAAAAUUCCCUGAAUUUAUAAAAUGUGCAAAACCUUCAGGAACAAAAUUCCAAUGAAGUUUCACUUCAGUUUUAGUUUUAAAAAUCCUCCAAAUAUGGGAACACUUUUGUGAACAUUUUCAAAGAGUAAAAAUCUUCCAGAGGAAUACUAAAACUCCAGUGAAAUUCACUAGAUUCAUUGGUUUUGUGUGUGAAUGUUUAACUUUUAACAUUUUCAACCAAAUGUGGAAUUUCCACUGUGAAAAUGUAUGUUUCCACAUUUUCAAACAGUAAUUGGGUCAAUUUUGACCCGCAACACAACAUGAGGCUAAAUAGUGCUUUAUGCAGUUUGUGUAAUUGAUGUUCAGAGUUCAUUGAAAUGUCUUUUAAAUGCAUUUAUUCCAUUUGUUAACUUAUAGAACAUUGUUUAGUAAAGUGACAGGUUUUUUCAUACGGCACAUUUAAACGGACAUUGAGUAUAAAUGUUUUCCAGUAGAAUUUUUUUUUUCAGUUUAAAUAUUAAGACUGAACCGAAAUUUGACCAAAUUGAAUAUUCAGGUUAAGUUCAAACACGGGCUUUAAAUGGGUGAUCGGCCAAAACAAAAAUCAAUUUGCUUGAGUCCGGAUGAGCUGCUGUUAACAUAUUCAAAACUUUAACGUUAAUUGCACUUUGCUCACAUAUUGUGUUUAAUUUCUGGCUGCUGUCGCUCUACCGGGUUUAAUUCCAACAGUUGGGUAGAGUUCUAGUUUAGGAUUUGUUUGGGAGGCCUCCCUGCAGGCGAUUGUAACCAAACGCCUUUAAAGUGUAGCAUCAGACGAAAUUUACCAACAUGGUUAGAACAGGUUUGUUUUUUAAAUCAGGGGGAGGGGGGAAGCUGGUUGGGUUGCUAGAGAGACUAAACCUGACAGAGUGACAACUUAAAGCUGACUGAUGCUAAAAUUUGGGUCGUUUUCCCUUUUUAUGGUGACAAGAACAGCAGCUACAGCCGGGAAGCUCAGACAUAUUGAAUAACGUAGUCCUAGUCUUUUCAUAACACUAAAUUGCCUGAUAUUCUUUUGCCUUUUAAGUUAACUUAUUUUAAUUGACUACAUAAGAUUGUAGGUUCUAUACCUGUGCUGUUUUAAAUGUGCUCUAUAAAUGUUGAGUAACAUCUGCAGUACUGGCUGUGAGUUUUUUUUUUUUUUUUUUUUAAAUAAAUGAACCUGACUUGAUUUUUGCUAGCAGUUCCUGUGAGAACUCCUGACGUGUAUGUUCUAGCAAGUGGAAAAACUUUGAGCAUAACUUGUGCGUCUUCAAAUCAAAUAUUCAGCCCCGCUGGCCUGCUGCAGGCUAUCGGACUUGUGAACUGUAGAGCUUGAAUGUGGUUAAAAUCACAUGAACCUUGAACUGACUGAUGGGACAAUUAACAAGCUCUACAACUUCCACAACACUCGCACUGGACUUUUACUGAUCGUUGCGUCAUCUCUGUCAAUUGAUAGACAUUCUGGCCAACGUUGGAUCUCGUGAACUGAUUGCAUUUUAAUGACCUGGGAUUUUGCCUGAGCGGAGAUCACCCUAGGUUUAGUGUCCUAAAAGUGGUAUGGACUCCCUUCACAAAAUGGAUGAGGAGAGGAACGAAGUCUGGUUGAAGAGCUGUAGGACGGAGAUGACUCCAUCGUUGGAGAUGAUCUGAGGUCUGCUGACGGGCGAAGAUGGAAGAUGACGAAGGCCUGAUGACGACACCUCUGUGACCCACUGAUGUCUCCAGAUGUCCAAUCUUGGGGAAAGAAGACCUACCUGAUCUCAGAGUGCAUCCCUUUGAUCAACUAGUGCAACUCAUUACAGGCAGGCCUCCCAGCUUGCAGGGUGAAACCUCUGGAGAUGAUCCAGAAGACAGCAGCACAUUUGGUUUUCAACCAAAAUAGCCCAUCACCCUGCUGUUCAGAUUGCUUCCAGUUGCUGCCAACAUGAAAUUCAAAACUGACACUUGCAUUCAAAAUUACAAUAAAAUGGCCCCUGCCUACUUGAAAUCUA